rnacentral:rRNA from 1 species
GAGCAUGCGGGUGCUACACAUGCAGUCGAACGGGAUCCAUCAGGCUUUGCUUGGUGGUGAGAGUGGCGAACGGGUGAGUAAUGCGUGACCGACCUGCCCCAUACACCGGAAUAGCUCCUGGAAACGGGUGGUAAUGCCGGAUGCUCCGACUCCUCGCAUGGGGUGUCGGGAAAGAUUUCAUCGGUAUGGGAUGGGGUCGCGUCCUAUCAGGUAGUCGGCGGGGUAACGGCCCACCGAGCCUACGACGGGUAGCCGGCCUGAGAGGGCGACCGGCCACAUUGGGACUGAGAUACGGCCCAGACUCCUACGGGAGGCAGCAGUGGGGAAUAUUGCACAAUGGGCGCAAGCCUGAUGCAGCGACGCCGCGUGCGGGAUGACGGCCUUCGGGUUGUAAACCGCUUUUGAUCGGGAGCAAGCCUUCGGGUGAGUGUACCUUUCGAAUAAGCACCGGCUAACUACGUGCCAGCAGCCGCGGUAAUACGUAGGGUGCAAGCGUUAUCCGGAAUUAUUGGGCGUAAAGGGCUCGUAGGCGGUUCGUCGCGUCCGGUGUGAAAGUCCAUCGCUUAACGGUGGAUCUGCGCCGGGUACGGGCGGGCUGGAGUGCGGUAGGGGAGACUGGAAUUCCCGGUGUAACGGUGGAAUGUGUAGAUAUCGGGAAGAACACCAAUGGCGAAGGCAGGUCUCUGGGCCGUUACUGACGCUGAGGAGCGAAAGCGUGGGGAGCGAACAGGAUUAGAUACCCUGGUAGUCCACGCCGUAAACGGUGGAUGCUGGAUGUGGGGCCCGUUCCACGGGUUCCGUGUCGGAGCUAACGCGUUAAGCAUCCCGCCUGGGGAGUACGGCCGCAAGGCUAAAACUCAAAGAAAUUGACGGGGGCCCGCACAAGCGGCGGAGCAUGCGGAUUAAUUCGAUGCAACGCGAAGAACCUUACCUGGGCUUGACAUGUUCCCGACAGCCGUAGAGAUAUGGCCUCCCUUCGGGGCGGGUUCACAGGUGGUGCAUGGUCGUCGUCAGCUCGUGUCGUGAGAUGUUGGGUUAAGUCCCGCAACGAGCGCAACCCUCGCCCUGUGUUGCCAGCACGUCAUGGUGGGAACUCACGGGGGACCGCCGGGGUCAACUCGGAGGAAGGUGGGGAUGACGUCAGAUCAUCAUGCCCCUUACGUCCAGGGCUUCACGCAUGCUACAAUGGCCGGUACAACGGGAUGCGACACGGCGACGUGGAGCGGAUCCCUGAAAACCGGUCUCAGUUCGGAUUGGAGUCUGCAACCCGACUCCAUGAAGGCGGAGUCGCUAGUAAUCGCGGAUCAGCAACGCCGCGGUGAAUGCGUUCCCGGGCCUUGUACACACCGCCCGUCAAGUCAUGAAAGUGGGUAGCACCCGAAGCCGGUGGCUAUAACCCUUUGUGGAUGGAGCCGUCUAAGGUAGACUCAUUG